rnacentral:rRNA from 1 species
UAGGAAUCUUGUGCAAUGGGGGCAACCCUGACACAGCGACGCCGCGUGAGGGAGGAAGGCCUUCGGGUUGUAAACCUCUUUUAACGAGGAAGAAACAAAUGACGGUACUCGUUGAAUAAGCCCCGGCUAACUCCGUGCCAGCAGCCGCGGUAAUACGGAGGGGGCGAGCGUUGUCCGAAGUUACUGGGCGUAAAGCGCGCGUAGGCGGGUUGGCAAGUCCGCUGUGAAAGCCCGGUGCUUAACGCCGGAGGGUCGGUGGAUACUGCCAGUCUUGAAGGUGCUAGGGAGAGAUGGAAUUACCAGUGUAGCGGUGAAAUGCGUAGAUAUUGGUAGGAACACCAGUGGCGAAGGCGGUCUCUUGGAGCACUCUUGACGCUGAGGCGCGAAAGCUGGGGGAGCGAACGGGA